rnacentral:rRNA from 1 species
GACGAACGCUGGCGGCGUGCCUAAUACAUGCAAGUCGAACGAGCGGCGGACGGGUGAGUAAUGUAUGGGGACUGCCCGAUAGAGGGGGAUAACUCCUGGAAACGGUCUCUAAUACCGCAUACUCUCGGAUAACCCAUAUGGGAUUAGCUAGUAGGUGGGGUAAAGGCUCACCUAGGCGACGAUCUCUAGCUGGUCUGAGAGGAUGAUCAGCCAACCUGGGACGGGAAAACGGCCCAGACUCCUACGGAGGUGGCAGUGGGGAAUAUUGCACAAUGGGCGCAAGCCUGAUGCAGCAAUGCCGCGUGCAUGAAGAAGGCCUUAGGGUUGUAAAGUACUUUCAGCGGGGAGGCGUUACCCGCAGAAGAAGCACCGGCUAACUCCGUGCCAGCAGCCGCGGUAAUUC